rnacentral:lncRNA from 1 species
GUCCAAAGUACACGGAUGCCCCACUCAAUCAUUUUCCAUGUUCCAUGGACCGUGAAAUAGGGUAAAAAUCUAAUUUGGCAUUAAAAUUAGAAGGAUUAUACUAUAGGGAACAUGUGUACUAAGUUUCAAGUUGAUUUGACUUCGAUUUCAUCAAAAACUACCUUGACCAAAAACUUUAACCUGAAACUUCCAUUUUCAUUUUCUAUGUUAAGUGGACCGUGAAAUUGGGGUUAAAAGUCUAAUUUGGCUUUAAAAUUAGAAAGAUCAUACCAUAAGCAACAAGUGUACUAAGUUUCAAGUUGAUAGGACUUCAGCUUCAUCAAAAACUACCUUGACCAAAAACUUUAACCUGAAACUCCCCCUUUCAUUUUCUAUGUUCAAUAGACCGUGAAAUUGGAGUCAAAAGUCUAGUUUGGCUUUAAAAUUAGAAAGAUCAUAUCAUAAGCAACAAGUGUACCAAGUUAUAAGUUGAUUGGACUUCAGCUUCAUCAAAAACUACCUUGACCAAAAACUUUAACCUGAAGCAGGACGAACGAGCGAACGAACGAACGGACGGACGAACGAACGAACGGA